GGCGNUCAGGAAAGUCUGGAGUAAAAGGCUAUGGCUCAACCAUAGUGUGNUCUGGAAACUGUCUGACUUGAGUGCAGAAGGGGAGAGUGGAAUUCCAUGUGUAGCGGUGAAAUGCGUAGAUAUAUGGAGGAACACCAGUGGCGAAAGCGGCUCUCUGGUCUGUCACUGACGCUGAGGCUCGAAAGCGUGGGUAGCGAACAGGAUUAGAUACCCUGGUAGUNCACGCCGUAAACGAUGAGUGCUAGGUGUUAGGCCCUUUCCGGGGCUUAGUGCCGGAGCUAACGCAAUAAGCACUCCGCCUGGGGAGUACGACCGCAAGGUUGAAACUCAAAGGAAUUGACGGGGGCCCGCACAAGCGGUGGAGCAUGUGGUUUAAUUCGAAGCAACGCGAAGAACCUUACCAGGUCUUGACAUCCCGAUGCUAUUCUUAGAGAUAGGAAGUUACUUCGGUACAUCGGAGACAGGUGGUGCAUGGUUGUCGUCAGCUCGUGUCGUGAGAUGUUGGGUUAAGUCCCGCAACGAGCGCAACCCUUAUUGUUAGUUGCCAUCAUUAAGUUGGGCACUCUAGCGAGACUGCCGGUAAUAAACCGGAGGAAGGUGGGGAUGACGUCAAAUCAUCAUGCCCCUUAUGACCUGGGCUACACACGUGCUACAAUGGUCGGUACAACGAGUUGCGAGCCGGUGACGGCAAGCUAAUCUCUGAAAGCCGAUCUCAGUUCGGAUUGGAGGCUGCAACUCGCCUCCAUGAAGUCGGAAUCGCUAGUAAUCGCGGAUCAGCACGCCGCGGUGAAUACGUUCCCGGGCCUUGUACACACCGCCCGUCACACCACGAGAGUUUGUAACACCCGAAGUCGGUGAGGUAACCUUUUAGGGGCCAGCC
rnacentral:rRNA from 1 species